UACGUAGGGGGCGAGCGUUACCCGGAUUCACUGGGCGUAAAGGGGGCGUAGGCGGCCGUGUAAGUCCGGUGUGAAAUACCACGGCUCAACCGUGGAACUGCGCUGGAAACUACACGGCUUGAGGACGGUAGAGGGAGACGGAACUGCUGGUGUAGGGGUGAAAUCCGUAGAUAUCAGCAGGAACGCCGGUGGAGAAGUCGGUCUCCUGGGCCGUUCCUGACGCUGAGGCCCGAAAGCUAGGGGAGCAAACAGG
rnacentral:rRNA from 1 species